rnacentral:rRNA from 1 species
AACGUAGGUUCCGAGCGUUAUCCGGAUUUACUGGGCGUAAAGCGCGUUCAGGCGGUUUGGCAAGUCGGGCAUGAAAUCUCUCGGCUCAACCGGGAGAGGUUGUCCGAUACUGCUGGACUUGAGGGCAGUAGAGGGUGGUGGAAUUCCGGGUGUAGUGGUGAAAUGCGUAGAUAUCCGGAGGAACACCAGUGGCGAAGGCGACUUACUGGACACAUAUUGACGCUGAGGUGCGAAAGCGUGGGGAGCAAACAGG